rnacentral:rRNA from 1 species
UACGUAGGGCGCAAGCGUUGUCCGGAAUUAUUGGGCGUAAAGAGCUCGUAGGCGGUCUGUCGCGUCCGUUGUGAAAACUCGAGGCUCAACCUCGGGCUUGCAGUGGAUACGGGCAGACUAGAGUGCGGUAGGGGAGACUGGAAUUCCUGGUGUAGCGGUGGAAUGCGCAGAUAUCAGGAGGAAUACCAAUUGCGAAGGCAGCUCGCUGGGACGUUACUGACGCUGAGACGCGAAAGCGUGGGGAGCAAACAGG